AGACGGGGACCCGGCACAAGCGGUGGAUGAUGUGGAUUAAUUCGAUGCAACGCGAAGAACCUUACUACCCUUGACAUGUCCGGAACUUGCCAGAGAUGGCUUGGUGCCCGAAAGGGAAUCGGAACACAGGUGCUGCAUGGCUGUCGUCAGCUCGUGUCGUGAGAUGUUGGGUUAAGUCCCGCAACGAGCGCAACCCUUAUCAUUAGUUGCUACGCAAGGGCACUCUAAUGAGACUGCCGGUGACAAACCGGAGGAAGGUGGGGAUGACGUCAAGUCCUCAUGGCCCUUAUGGGUAGGGCUUCACACGUCAUACAAUGGUCGGUACAGAGGGUUGCCAAGCCGCGAGGCGGAGCCAAUCCCACAAAGCCGAUCGUAGUCCGGAUUGUUCUCUGCAACUCGAGAGCAUGAAGUCGGAAUCGCUAGUAAUCGCAGGUCAGCAUACUGCGGUGAAUACGUUCCCGGGUCUU
rnacentral:rRNA from 1 species